GAUGAACGCUGGCGGCGUGCCUAACACAUGCAAGUCGAGCGAUUCUCUUCGGAGAAGAGCAGCGGACGGGUGAGUAACGCGUGGGUAACCUGCCCUGUACACACGGAUAACAUACCGAAAGGUAUGCUAAUACGAGAUAAUAUACUUUUAUCGCAUGGUAGAAGUAUCAAAGCUCCGGCGGUACAAGAUGGACCCGCGUCUGAUUAGCUAGUUGGUAAGGUAACGGCUUACCAAGGCGACGAUCAGUAGCCGACCUGAGAGGGUGAUCGGCCACAUUGGAACUGAUACACGGUCCAAACUCCUACGGGAGGCAGCAGUGGGGAAUAUUGCACAAUGGGCGAAAGCCUGAUGCAGCAACGCCGCGUGAGCGAUGAAGGCCUUCGGGUCGUAAAGCUCUGUCCUCAAGGAAGAUAAUGACGGUACUUGAGGAGGAAGCCCCGGCUAACUACGUGCCAGCCGCCGCCGUAA
rnacentral:rRNA from 1 species